GGAUAUCCCUGUCUGGAGGCAUUCCAGGUAGCUCUUCAGGAAAGAUAUCAGGACUCACUACCGGAACUUCCUCAAUGGCCUUAGCUUCCAUGCUAAAAACCAUGGGGUCUGGGCCACUUCCUCGAGUGUGACAGGUCACUUGCACACCUUCCUGAUUGAUCAGGUGUACUACCUUAUCAGCACAUCCUAUGUGACCAUCAUGCAUGUUUAGCCAAUCCAUUCCGAGAAUCACAUCUAUCCCCUUGGACUUAAGUACCACUAGAUCCACUAAGAACUCUACCCCACUUAAAUUGAUCCUUACCCGG
rnacentral:lncRNA from 1 species